rnacentral:rRNA from 1 species
AUAGUUGCUAGGAUUAGACCCGAAACCGAGUGAUCUAGCCAUGGGCAGGUUGAAGGUGAGGUAACACUUACUGGAGGACCGAACCGACUAAUGUUGAAAAAUUAGCGGAUGACUUGUGGCUAGGGGUGAAAGGCCAAUCAAACUCGGAGAUAGCUGGUUCUCCCCGAAAGCUAUUUAGGUAGCGCCUCGGACGAAUACUACUGGGGGUAGAGCACUGUUAAGGCUAGGGGGUCAUCCCGACUUACCAACCCUUUGCAAACUCCGAAUACCAGUAAGUACUAUCCGGGAGACACACGGCGGGUGCUAACGUCCGUCGUGAAGAGGGAAACAACCCAGACCGCCAGCUAAGGUCCCAAAGUUAUAGCUAAGUGGGAAACGAUGUGGGAAGGCUCAGACAGCCAGGAUGUUGGCUUAGAAGCAGCCAUCAUUUAAAGAAAGCGUAAUAGCUCACUGGUCGAGUCGGCCUGCGCGGAAGAUUUAACGGGGCUAAGCUAUACACCGAAGCUGCGGCAAUGAAGUUUACUUCAUUGGGUAGGGGAGCGUUCUGUAAGCCGUUGAAGGUGAAUCGUAAGGUUUGCUGGAGGUAUCAGAAGUGCGAAUGCUGACAUGAGUAACGAUAAAGGGAGUGAAAAACUCCCUCGCCGGAAGAUCAAGGGUUCCUGUCCAACGUUAAUCGGGGCAGGGUAAGUCGACCCCUAAGGCGAGGCCGAAAGGCGUAGUCGAUGGGAAACGGGUUAAUAUUCCCGUACUUCUUAUAAUUGCGAUGGAGGGACGGAGAAGGCUAGGUGAGCCUGGCGACGGUUGUCCAGGUCCAAGUAUGUAGGCUGAUGGUUUAGGCAAAUCCGGACCAUCUUAAGGCUGAGAUACGAUGUCGAGUUACUACGGUAACGAAGUCAUUGAUGCCAUGCUUCCGGGAAAAGCUUCUAAGCUUCAGAUUAUAAGAAAUCGUACCCCAAACCGACACAGGUGAUCAGGUAGAGAAUACCAAGGCGCUUGAGAGAACUCGGGUGAAGGAACUAGGCAAAAUGGUACCGUAACUUCGGGAGAAGGUACGCUCCUAGC